rnacentral:misc_RNA from 1 species
GAUGAAGAACGUAGUGAAAUGCGAUAAGUAAUGUGAAUUGCAGAAUUCAGUGAAUCAUCGAAUCUUUGAACGCACCUUGCGCCCGCCAGUAUUCUGGCGGGCAUGCCUGUUCGAGCGUCAUUUCAACCAUCAAGCCCCGGGCUUGUGUUGGGGAUCUGCGGCUGCCCGCAGGCCCUGAAAACCAGUGGCGGGCUCGCUGUCACUCCGAGCGUAGUAGCACUCGUAUCUCGCUCAGGGCGUGCCGCGGGCUCCGGCCGUUAAACCGCCUCUUUAGCACCCAAAGGUUGACCUCGGAUCAGGUAGGAGGACCCGCUGAACUUAAGCAUAUCAAUAAGCGGAGGA